rnacentral:rRNA from 1 species
UUAAGCGACUAAGCGUACACGGUGGAUGCCCUGGCAGUCAGAGGCGAUGAAGGACGUGCUAAUCUGCGAAAAGCGUCGGUAAGGUGAUAUGAACCGUUAUAACCGGCGAUGUCCGAAUGGGGAAACCCAGUGCAAUUCGUUGCACUAUCGUUAACUGAAUACAUAGGUUAACGAGGCGAACCGGGGGAACUGAAACAUCUAAGUACCCCGAGGAAAAGAAAUCAACCGAGAUUCCCCCAGUAGCGGCGAGCGAACGGGGAGCAGCCCAGAGUCUGAAUCAGCUUGUGUGUUAGUGGAACGGUCUGGAAAGUCCGACGGUACAGGGUGAUAGUCCCGUACACCAAAAUGCACAGGCUGUGAACUCGAAGAGUAGGGCGGGACACGUGGUAUCCUGUCUGAAUAUGGGGGGACCAUCCUCCAAGGCUAAAUACUCCUGACUGACCGAUAGUGAACCAGUACCGUGAGGGAAAGGCGAAAAGAACCCCGGCGAGGGGAGUGAAAAAGAACCUGAAACCGUGUACGUACAAGCAGUGGGAGCACCUUCGGGUGUGACUGCGUACCUUUUGUAUAAUGGGUCAGCGACUUAUAUUCUGUAGCAAGGUUAACCGUAUAGGGGAGCCGCAGGGAAACCGAGUCUUAACUGGGCGUUAAGUUGCAGGGUAUAGACCCGAAACCCGGUGAUCUAGCCAUGGGCAGGUUGAAGGUUGGGUAACACUAACUGGAGGACCGAACCGACUAAUGUUGAAAAAUUAGCGGAUGACUUGUGGCUGGGGGUGAAAGGCCAAUCAAACCGGGAGAUAGCUGGUUCUCCCCGAAAGCUAUUUAGGUAGCGCCUCGUGAAUUCAUCUUCGGGGGUAGAGCACUGUUUCGGCUAGGGGGUCAUCCCGACUUACCAACCCGAUGCAAACUACGAAUACCGAAGAAUGUUAUCACGGGAGACACACGGCGGGUGCUAACGUCCGUCGUGAAGAGGGAAACAACCCAGACCGCCAGCUAAGGUCCCAAAGUCAUGGUUAAGUGGGAAACGAUGUGGGAAGGCACAGACAGCCAGGAUGUUGGCUUAGAAGCAGCCAUCAUUUAAAGAAAGCGUAAUAGCUCACUGGUCGAGUCGGCCUGCGCGGAAGAUGUAACGGGGCUAAACCAUGCACCGAAGCUGCGGCAGCGACACUAUGUGUUGUUGGGUAGGGGAGCGUUCUGUAAGCCUGCGAAGGUGACCUGUGAGGGUUGCUGGAGGUAUCAGAAGUGCGAAUGCUGACAUAAGUAACGAUAAAGCGGGUGAAAAGCCCGCUCGCCGGAAGACCAAGGGUUCCUGUCCAACGUUAAUCGGGGCAGGGUGAGUCGACCCCUAAGGCGAGGCCGAAAGGCGUAGUCGAUGGGAAACAGGUUAAUAUUCCUGUACUUGGUGUUACUGCGAAGGGGGGACGGAGAAGGCUAUGUUAGCCGGGCGACGGUUGUCCCGGUUUAAGCAUGUAGGCUGGUUGUCCAGGCAAAUCCGGAUAAUCAAGGCUGAGGUGUGAUGACGAGGCACUACGGUGCUGAAGUAACAAAUGCCCUGCUUCCAGGAAAAGCCUCUAAGCAUCAGGUAACAUUAAAUCGUACCCCAAACCGACACAGGUGGUCAGGUAGAGAAUACCAAGGCGCUUGAGAGAACUCGGGUGAAGGAACUAGGCAAAAUGGUGCCGUAACUUCGGGAGAAGGCACGCUGGUGUGUAGGUGAAGCCCCUGCGGGUGGAGCUGAGACCAGUCGAAGAUACCAGCUGGCUGCAACUGUUUAUUAAAAACACAGCACUGUGCAAACACGAAAGUGGACGUAUACGGUGUGACGCCUGCCCGGUGCCGGAAGGUUAAUUGAUGGGGUUAUCCGUAAGGAGAAGCUCUUGAUCGAAGCCCCGGUAAACGGCGGCCGUAACUAUAACGGUCCUAAGGUAGCGAAAUUCCUUGUCGGGUAAGUUCCGACCUGCACGAAUGGCGUAAUGAUGGCCAGGCUGUCUCCACCCGAGACUCAGUGAAAUUGAACUCGCUGUGAAGAUGCAGUGUACCCGCGGCAAGACGGAAAGACCCCGUGAACCUUUACUAUAGCUUGACACUGAACAUUGAGCCUUGAUGUGUAGGAUAGGUGGGAGGCUUUGAAGCGUGGACGCCAGUCUGCGUGGAGCCAACCUUGAAAUACCACCCUUUAAUGUUUGAUGUUCUAACGUUGGCCCCUUAUCGGGGUUGCGGACAGUGUCUGGUGGGUAGUUUGACUGGGGCGGUCUCCUCCCAAAGCGUAACGGAGGAGCACGAAGGUUAGCUAAUCCUGGUCGGACAUCAGGAGGUUAGUGCAAUGGCAUAAGCUAGCUUGACUGCGAGCGUGACGGCGCGAGCAGGUGCGAAAGCAGGUCAUAGUGAUCCGGUGGUUCUGAAUGGAAGGGCCAUCGCUCAACGGAUAAAAGGUACUCCGGGGAUAACAGGCUGAUACCGCCCAAGAGUUCAUAUCGACGGCGGUGUUUGGCACCUCGAUGUCGGCUCAUCACAUCCUGGGGCUGAAGUAGGUCCAAGGGUAUGGCUGUUCGCCAUUUAAAGUGGUACGCGAGCUGGGUUUAGAACGUCGUGAGACAGUUCGGUCCCUAUCUGCCGUGGGCGCUGGAGAAUUGAGGGGGGCUGCUCCUAGUACGAGAGGACCGGAGUGGACGCAUCACUGGUGUUCGGGUUGUCAUGCCAAUGGCACUGCCCGGUAGCUAAAUGCGGAAGAGAUAAGUGCUGAAAGCAUCUAAGCACGAAACUUGCCCCGAGAUGAGUUCUCCCUGAGACUUUAAGUCUCCUGAAGGAACGUUGAAGACGAUGACGUUGAUAGGCCGGGUGUGUAAGCGCAGCGAUGCGUUGAGCUAACCGGUACUAAUGAACCGUGAGGCUUAACCUU